GAUGAACGCUGGCGGCGUGCUUAACACAUGCAAGUCGAGCGGAAAGGCUCCUGCUUGCAGGGGUACUCGAGUGGCGAACGGGUGAGUAACACGUGGGUGAUCUGCCCUGCACUUCGGGAUAAGCCUGGGAAACUGGGUCUAAUACCGGAUAGGACCACAUUUUGGAUGGUGUGGUGGAAAGUUUUUCGGUGUGGGAUGAGCUCGCGGCCUAUCAGCUUGUUGGUGGGGUAAUGGCCUACCAAGGCGUCGACGGGUAGCCGGCCUGAGAGGGUGUACGGCCACAUUGGGACAGAGAUACGGCCCAGACUCCGACGGGAGGCAGCAGAGGGGAAUAUUGCACAAUGUGCGCAAGCCUGAUGCAGCGACGCCGCGUGGGGGAUGACGGCCUUCGGGUUGUAAACUCCUUUCGCUAGGGACGAAGCGUUUUUGUGACGGUACCUGGAGAAGAAGCACCGGCUAACUACGUG
rnacentral:rRNA from 1 species